GCAGUCGAGCGAACUGAUUAGAAGCUUGCUUCUAUGACGUUAGCGGCGGACGGGUGAGUAACACGUGGGCAACCUGCCUGUAAGACUGGGAUAACUUCGGGAAACCGAAGCUAAUACCGGAUAGGAUCUUCUCCUUCAUGGGAGAUGAUUGAAAGAUGGUUUCGGCUAUCACUUACAGAUGGGCCCGCGGUGCAUUAGCUAGUUGGUGAGGUAACGGCUCACCAAGGCAACGAUGCAUAGCCGACCUGAGAGGGUGAUCGGCCACACUGGGACUGAGACACGGCCCAGACUCCUACGGGAGGCAGCAGUAGGGAAUCUUCCGCAAUGGACGAAAGUCUGACGGAGCAACGCCGCGUGAGUGAUGAAGGCUUUCGGGUCGUAAAACUCUGUUGUUAGGGAAGAACAAGUACGAGAGUAACUGCUUGUACCUUGACGGUACCUAACCAGAAAGCCACGGCUAACUACGUGCCAGCAGCCGCGGUAAUACGUAGGUGGCAAGCGUUAUCCGGAAUUAUUGGGCGUAAAGCGCGCGCAGGCGGUUUCUUAAGUCUGAUGUGAAAGCCCACGGCUCAACCGUGGAGGGUCAUUGGAAACUGGGGAACUUGAGUGCAGAAGAGAAAAGCGGAAUUCCACGUG
rnacentral:rRNA from 2 species